rnacentral:rRNA from 1 species
UACGUAGGGCGCAAGCGUUAUCCGGAAUUAUUGGGCGUAAAGAGCUCGUAGGCGGUUUGUCGCGUCUGCUGUGAAAGACCGGGGCUCAACUCCGGUUCUGCAGUGGGUACGGGCAGACUAGAGUGAUGUAGGGGAGACUGGAAUUCCUGGUGUAGCGGUGAAAUGCGCAGAUAUCAGGAGGAACACCGAUGGCGAAGGCAGGUCUCUGGGCAUUAACUGACGCUGAGGAGCGAAAGCCUGGGGAGCGAACAGG